UGCAGCCUAGCAUAAUGGUCAAGGAACUAGGCUUGUAACUCAGAGGUUGCAGGUUCAAUUCCCCCUGGUGUUGUAC